rnacentral:rRNA from 1 species
CUACGUGCCAGCAGCCGCGGUAAUACGUAGGGUGCGAGCGUUAAUCGGAAUUACUGGGCGUAAAGCGAGCGCAGACGGUUACUUAAGCAGGAUGUGAAAUCCCCGGGCUCAACCUGGGAACUGCGUUCUGAACUGGGUGACUAGAGUGUGUCAGAGGGAGGUAGAAUUCCACGUGUAGCAGUGAAAUGCGUAGAGAUGUGGAGGAAUACCGAUGGCGAAGGCAGCCUCCUGGGAUAACACUGACGUUCAUGCUCGAAAGCGUGGGUAGCAAACAGGAUUAGAUACCCUGGUAGUCCACGCCCUAAACGAUGUCAAUUAGCUGUUGGGCAACUUGAUUGCUUAGUAGCGUAGCUAACGCGUGAAAUUGACCGCCUGGGGAGUACGGUCGCAAGAUUAAAACUCAAAGGAAUUGACGGGGACCCGCACAAGCGGUGGAUGAUGUGGAUUAAUUCGAUGCAACGCGAAGAACCUUACCUACUCUUGACAUCCAGAGAACAUUC